CCCUGCUGACACUUUAAUUUUGGUCCUGCAAUAACUGAUUUGGAACUUUCAUCCUCUAGAACUAUGGGAGGAUCAACACUACUUGAAGCCACCAGUUUCUGGGAAUAUGUCACAGCGGCCCAGGAAACGCAUGCAGAAGAGAUGGGGUUUCACCAUGUUACCCAAGCUGGUCUUGAACUCCUGAGCUCAAGCCAUCUGCUUGUCUUGGCCUCCCAAAGUGCUUGGAUUACAGGGGUGAGCCACCACACCCCACCGAGAAUGAUCUUUUAAAAACCCAACUCAUCAUGUCACACUUCUGCCUAAAAUGCUUUGGGGACUCCUUCUGGGCCUCCAGAUAAAGCUCCUGGUUCUCAU
rnacentral:lncRNA from 1 species